rnacentral:rRNA from 1 species
CGUGUAGGCGGGGAUAUAAGUCAGAUGUGAAAUACCGUAGCUUAACUACGGGGCUGCACCUGAAACUAUAUUUCUUGAGUGUCGGAGAGGAAAGUGGAAUUCCCAGUGUAGCGGUGAAAUGCGUAGAUAUUGGGAGGAACACCAGUGGCGAAGGCGACUUUCUGGACGAUAACUGACGCUGAGGCGCGAAAGCGUGGGGAGCAAACAGGAUUAGAUACCCUGGUAGUCCACGCUGUAAACGAUGGAUACUAGGUGUAGGAGGUAUCGACCCCUUCUGUGCCGGAGUUAACACAAUAAGUAUCCCACCUGGGGAGUACGGCCGCAAGGUUGAA